UUUCAUUUCUUCCUCUUCCACCUUCUGCCUCUCUCUGGUGAUAAGCGAUUCUAAAAUCGAAAAAUUCUCUGUCUCUCAUCAAAUCAUCAUCAUAAUCACCUUUCUUCUUCAUCUUCGUCAUCUACAGCUCUUCUCUCUAUCAAACAUGGUGUAGAGAUCGACCUUCUAGAUGUCCAAACCCUAAUCUCGAGUUUUAGACGGAUGUACGAUGCUCAGAGGAAGGUGUGGGCGACCAAAGGUGAGGAACAAGAGACAGGCAAGAAGGAUUUCAUUGAGAUACUCAAGAGGUUUCGUGAUUGACUGGGAGAACUUGGACUAUGAGUUCAAGACUAGGCCUAUCAUGGACCCAUUUCGUAUUGAUGCUUACAGUACCAAUGAUGAAGUAUAACAUGAAGUCGCUUGCUGUGCUUAUUACUCAACACAAUGCUGAUACGGUCAGUAGUGUCGUCUUUGGCUUGUUGAUGUACAAUUGUAUGCUUGUGUUCCUAUUUUCUUUUUUCUUCUUCUUACUCUGUUUGCUCACAAAUGGUUUGUGCAUGGGAGUCGGAUUGAGUUCGUGGAUCAUGUUUCGGCGAGUUACAGGUGUUGCGUAGGUAUCCUUUAUUGGGUUACGUAUUGGGCUAAGGAUUUGGCAUCAUCCAAUCCUGAGCCUAGACUUUAUCAGACUAAUGUUCGCCUCUGCGGACCAACCUUUUGUGAGCCUUAUAUCUUCAGGCUCAAACCUACUGAUGAAGAUAUUGCUGCUGUUCAAGUGGAUCAUUCUCCUUAGUAAAGACACACGAUCGGUAAAGGGUGACAACCGAAGAUCUUGCUGUUACAAGAGGUUAAAGGUGACAACCGAAGAUCAACCUCUCUAUUGCAGAUCGCUAUUGCAAUUACUGAGUCCGGAUUCUUCACGUUAUUGCAGCCAGGAUAAUAAUUUAUCGUUUUUGUAAUCUUUUUUUCAAUAUGCUUUUAUAUCAUGUAACUUUAAAUUUUAUGAAAUGCAAUAAUUUUAUGUUUUGAAAAA